GACGAACGCUGGCGGCGUGGAUUAGGCAUGCAAGUCGAACGGUAGGAUCCUUUCGGGGAUCUGAGAGUGGCGAACGGGUGAGUAACACGUAGGUGAUCUACCCUCAAGACGGGGACAACCCAGGGAAACUUGGGCUAAUACCGGAUGUGAGCUAUCGCGAGAUAGUUUGAAAGGUGGCUUCGGCUGCCGCUUGAGGAUGAGCCUGCGUCCUAUUAGCUAGUUGGUGAGGUAACGGCUCACCGAGGCAGUGAUAGGUAGGCGGCCUUAACGGGUGGUCGCCCACACUGGGAUUGAGAUACGGCCCAGACUCCUACGGGAGGCAGCAGUCGAGAAUAGUCUACAAUGGUCGAAAAGACUGAUAGUGCGACGCCGCGUGAACGAAGAAGCCCUUCGGGGUGUAAAGUUCUUUUAUAUGUGAGCAGUGACACCCAUAUUAAUAGUAAUGGGUGUAGAGAUAUUAGCAUAUGAAUAAGCAACGGCUAACUCCGUGCCCAGCA
rnacentral:rRNA from 1 species